CCUACGGGAGGCAGCAGUGGGGAAUAUUGGACAAUGGGGGCAACCCUGAUCCAGCCAUGCCGCGUGUGUGAAGAAGGCCCUCGGGUUGUAAAGCACUUUCAGUGAGGAAGAACGCCUGGUGGUUAAUACCCAUCAGGAAAGACAUCACUCACAGACGAAGCACCGGCUAACUCCGUGCCAGCAGCCGCGGUAAUACGGAGGGUGCGAGCGUUAAUCGGAAUUACUGGGCGUAAAGCGCGCGUAGGUGGCUUGAUAAGCCGGUUGUGAAAGCCCCGGGCUCAACCUGGGAACGGCCUCCGGAACUGUCAAGCUAGAGUGCAGGAGAGGAAGGUAGAAUUCCCGGUGUAGCGGUGAAAUGCGUAGAGAUCGGGAGGAAUACCAGUGGCGAAGGCGGCCUUCUGGACUGACACUGACACUGAGGUGCGAAAGCGUGGGUAGCAAACAGGAUUAGAUACCCCAGUAGUC
rnacentral:rRNA from 1 species